ACGUCCUGACGGGAGGCAGCAGGUAGGGAAUUAUUGCAACGGAAAUCGGGGAAGCCAUGAUGCAGCCAUGCCGCGUGUGUGAAGAAGGCCUUCGGGUUGUAAAGCACUUUCAGUAGGGAGGAAGGUAGUGUAGUUAACACCUGCACUAUUUGACGUUACCUACAGAAGAAGCACCGGCUAACUCCGUGCCAGCAGCCGCGGUAAUACGGAGGGUGCGAGCGUUAAUCGGAAUUACUGGGCGUAAAGCGCAUGCAGGCGGCCUGUUAAGUCAGAUGUGAAAGCCCGGGCUUAAGCCU
rnacentral:rRNA from 1 species